rnacentral:sRNA from 1 species
AGUUCCAAAAUGGCGGCAGGGGUGGCCGGGUGGGGGGUUGAGGCAGAGGAGUUCGAAGAUGCGCCUGAUGUGGAGCCGCUGGAGCCUACACUUAGCAACAUCAUCGAGCAGCGCAGCCUGAAGUGGAUCUUCGUCGGGGGCAAGGGUGGUGUGGGCAAGACCACCUGCAGCUGCAGCCUGGCAGUCCAGCUCUCCAAGGGGCGUGAGAGUGUUCUGAUCAUCUCCACAGACCCAGCUCACAACAUCUCAGAUGCUUUUGACCAGAAGUUCUCAAAGGUGCCUACCAAGGUCAAAGGCUAUGACAACCUCUUUGCUAUGGAGAUUGACCCCAGCCUGGGCGUGGCAGAGCUGCCUGACGAGUUCUUCGAGGAGGACAACAUGCUGAGCAUGGGCAAGAAGAUGAUGCAGGAGGCCAUGAGCGCAUUUCCCGGCAUCGAUGAGGCCAUGAGCUAUGCCGAGGUCAUGAGGUCAGGCCCAGCCAGCAGGGGUGGGGGCUGCCUGGGGAAGGGGAAGAGCGGACACAGAGGGCCUGACCCCUGUCUCCCCUCAGGCUGGUGAAGGGCAUGAACUUCUCGGUGGUGGUAUUUGACAC